rnacentral:rRNA from 1 species
GGUACCAACCAUAUCACCCUGCAACCACAACUGGCAAACCUCUGAAGCUAAGCAGGUGUGAGCUUGGUCAGUACCUGGGUGGGAGACCUUCUGGGAAAAAGGUGGCUGCUC